ACAUACGACUAUAGGGUGUGGAAAACAGGGCUUCCCAUCUGCUCAGCUGCACUUAAGCCACACACCGGUGAAUUAGUAGUUGGGUGGGUGACCACCAGCGAAUCCUCAUUGUUAUAUGUUU
rnacentral:rRNA from 1 species